rnacentral:sRNA from 1 species
ACCACCACUCUGAAUGUAGUGCACACUUAAGAAUUUAUAUGGAUCAGCGUUGAGGCUGAGACAUGUUCUUUUAUAACUUGUGACGUAGCGAGCGUUUGAGAUAUCUAUCUAAACGUGUCGUUGAGGCUAAGGCGGGGACUUCGAGUCCCUAAAUAAUUGAGUCGUAUGUUCGCGUUGGUGGCUUUGUACUCCACACAGCACGGCAUAUAGCUCCGAGGCAACUUGGGGUUAUAUGGUCAAGCGAAUAAGCGCACACGGUGGAUGCCUAGGCGGUCAGAGGCGAUGAAGGACGUGGUAGCCUGCGAAAAGUGUCGGGGAGCUGGCAACAAGCUGUGAUCCGGCAAUAUCCGAAUGGGGAAACCCACUGCUUCGGCAGUAUCCUGCAGUGAAUUCAUAGCUGCUGGAAGCGAACCCGGUGAACUGAAAUAUCUAAGUAACCGGAGGAAAAGAAAUCAACCGAGAUUCCCUAAGUAGUGACGAGCGAACGGGGAGCAGCCCUUAAGCUGGAAUGGCUUUAGAAAAACAAUCUGGAAAGAUUGGCCAUAGAAGGUGAUAGCCCUGUAUUUAAAAGGGCCACUCCAGUGAAGACGAGUAGGGCGGGGCACGUGAAACCCUGUCUGAAUAUGGGGGGACCAUCCUCCAAGGCUAAAUACUCCUGACCGACCGAUAGUGAACCAGUACC